UACGUAAGGUGCGAGCGUUGUCCGGAAUUAUUGGGCGUAAAGAGCUUGUAGGCGGUUUGUCGCGUCUGCUGUGAAAUUUCGGGGCUCAACCCCGAACUUGCAGUGGGUACGGGCAGACUAGAGUGUGGUAGGGGAGACUGGAAUUCCUGGUGUAGCGGUGGAAUGCGCAGAUAUCAGGAGGAACACCAAUAGCGAAGGCAGCUCGCUGGGACGUUACUGACGCUGAGGCGCGAAAGCGUGGGGAGCGAACAGG
rnacentral:rRNA from 1 species